GUCCUUUUCUGCUGACGAGUGGCGGACGGGUGAGUAAAGUAUGGGGAUCUGCCGAAUGGAGGGGGACAACUGCUGGAAACGGCAGCUAAUACCGCAUAAAGUUGAGAGACCAAAGCGUGGGACUUUUUAGCCACGCGCCAUUUGAUGAACCCAUAUGGGAUUAGCUUGUUGGUAGGGUAAUGGCUUACCAAGGCGACGAUCUCUAGCUGGUCUGAGAGGAUGACCAGCCACACUGGAACUGAGACACGGUCCAGACUCCUAUGGGAGGCAGCAGUGGGGGAUAUUGCACAAUGGGGGAAACCCUGAUGCAGCCAUGCCGCGUGUAUGAAGAAGGCUUUCGGGUUGUAAAGUACUUUCGGUAAUGAGGAAGGUGUAUUAUCUAACAGGUAAUGCAAUUGACGUUAGUUACAGAAGAAGCACCGGCUAACUCCGUGCCAGCAGCCGCGGUAAUACGGAGGGUGCGAGCGUUAAUCGGAAUAACUGGGCGUAAAGGGCAUGCAGGCGGGUCAUUAAGUUAGGUGUGAAAUCCCCGGGCUCAACCUGGGAACUGCACUUAAAACUGGUGGUCUGGAGUAUUGUAGAGGAAGGUAGAAUUCCACGUGUAGCGGUGAAAUGCGUAGAGAUGUGGAGGAAUACCGGUGGCGAAGGCGGCCUUCUGGACAAAUACUGACGCUGAGAUGCGAAAGCGUGGGGAGCAAACAGGAUUAGAUACCCUGGUAGUCCACGCUGUAAACGAUGUCGAUUUGGAGUUUGGUGGC
rnacentral:rRNA from 1 species